rnacentral:rRNA from 1 species
UACGUAGGGGGCUAGCGUUGUCCGGAAUCAUUGGGCGUAAAGCGCGUGUAGGCGGCCCGGUAAGUCCGCUGUGAAAGUCGGGGGCUCAACCCUCGAAUGCCGGUGGAUACUGUCGGACUAGAGUACGGAAGAGGCGAGUGGAAUUCCUGGUGUAGCGGUGAAAUGCGCAGAUAUCAGGAGGAACACCAAUUGCGAAGGCAGCUCGCUGGGACGUUACUGACGCUGAGACGCGAAAGCGUGGGGAGCAAACAGG